rnacentral:rRNA from 1 species
GCUAACUUCGUGCCAGCAGCCGCGGUAAUACUCCUACGGGAGGCAGCAGUGGGGAAUAUUGGACAAUGGGCGAAAGCCUGAUCCAGCCAUGCCGCGUGAAUGAUGAAGGCCCUAGGGUUGUAAAGCUCUUUUGUGCGGGAAGAUAAUGACGGUACCGCAAGAAUAAGCCCCG